GGCGAGAUGGUCGAGCGGUCUAAGACGCAAGUUUAAGGAAUUCUCCUUUCUCACAAAUACUUGUCCUUCGGGGCGUGGGUUCGAAUCCCACUUUCGUCA